GUCAACUGCCCCUCCCUAAAACCCGCCUAACGGCUCAGGUUUUAGGAAGGGGCUUGUCUAACAAGCCCUGGUUGACCAGAUCCCCGAUUAGGAGCUUAGGAAAGAUCGGGAAACGAUAGGAACGAAUUCAUAGUUACCCUGGAAUGCCGCCUCAGUUUCAGGCUCUAAG
rnacentral:sRNA from 17 species